AUGACCUGAGCCAAAGGCAGAUGCUUCACCGACUGAGCCACCCAGGCGCCCCGGGACUCCCUUCCGAGUCCCUACGGCUGCUGACAAUUCAGUCCCUCGUGGCCUGUUGGACUGAGAGCUUCGAUUUCUUGCCAUGUUGUUGGCCGGCUUCCGUUCCUUGCCGUGUGGACCUCCCCAGCACGGCCGCGCGUGUCCUUGAAGCAGCCAGAGAGCGUCUGCUAUCCAGAUGGGUGCUGCCGUCUUAUGCAACAUAAUCAGAGAAGUGACAUCACGUCACCUGUGCCGUAUCCCGCAGGGCACAGUCGUCCCACUUAAGAAGAAGGGAAGACAUGGGGUGUGAACAGCAGAAGGCAAGAAUCGCUCAGGAUAUUGUCAGAGUCUGUCCGCCAACGCUUCUCAAAGGAAGGGUAUGGAUGGAUUGCCUUUUCAAGUCCUGGUUGGUGGAUGUUUACAAUGUUGUCAUCAGAAAGCCUCCAUCACAUGAGAACCAAAGCUCCCUGUGCAAACCCGCCUUUUCCCCAGUGGUCAAGUUGUCACAGAACAAGCACAGCGGACUUCAAGCUGACUUUCAGAAAUUCACAGACAAGUUACGGGAACCCAAACAUGGCUUUACAGAUUCAGGAGCGCAAGUGGUUCAAACCAACACACAAUGGCUUGCUUAUUCAGACACACCAUCAGCUUUACCCACUUCCGUGAAAAGAGGACCCAAACUCAGAAUUUGGCUCCCUAGUGUCUGAUUCGGCAGCCUGCACCCAGCCGGUUUCACAGCUCCGUGGUAUCCCCAGAUUUCCAGCAGAGGUGAUGAUUUUGAGAUUCAUGUGUAGUCUUCCAGGCUUAAAAACAAAAAACCGGGGCACCUGGGUGGCUCAGUCAGUUA